rnacentral:lncRNA from 1 species
GUGUGCUCCAGGUAUGAAGGCUGGUGUGCUCCAGGUAUGAAGGCAGGUAUGCUCCAGGUAUGAAGGCAGAUGUGCUCCAGGUAUGAAGGCAGGUGUGCUCCAGGUAUGAAGGCACAUGUGCUCCAGGUAUGAAGGCACGUGUGCUCCAGGUAUGAAGGCAGGUGUGCUCCAGGUAUGAAGGCACAUGUGCUCAGUGCUCAGACAGCCUUCCCUGCACCUGUGAAAU